rnacentral:tRNA from 1 species
GUAGCUCAGUGGCUGAGCACCUGCUUUGCAUGCAGAAAGUCCCGGGUUCAAUCCCCACCAUCUCCA